rnacentral:rRNA from 1 species
GACGAACGCUGGCGGCGUGCUUAACACAUGCAAGUCGAACGGUAAGGCUCCAACUUUCUUGGUUACACGAGUGGCGAACGGGUGAGUAACACGUGGGUAACCUGCCCUUCACUUCGGGAUAUGCCUGCGAAACUGGGUCUAUUAUCGGAUAUGAUCUUUGUGUGCAUAUUGUUCUGGAAAGAUUUUGCGGUGUGAGAUGGGUUCGCGGCCUAUCAGCUUGUUGGUGGGGUAAUGGUCUACCAAGGCGGAGACGGGUAGCCGGCAUGUGAGGGUAGACGGCCACAAUGGGACUGAGACACGGAGCAGACUCGUACGGGAGGCAGAAGUGGGGAGUAUUACAGAAUGGGCGGAAGCGUGAUGCGGCGACGCCGCGUGGGGGAUGACGGCCUUCGGGUUGUAAACUACUUUCACAAUAGACGAAGGGUUUCUGACGGUAGAUGGAGAAGAAGCACCGGCUAACUACGUG